rnacentral:rRNA from 1 species
UACGGAGGAUCCAAGCGUUUAUCCGGAAUCAUUGGGUUUAAAGGGUCCGUAGGCGGCCCUGUAAGUCAGUGGUGAAAUCUCCCCGCUCAACGGGGAAACUGCCAUUGAUACUGCAGGGCUUGAAUUAUUGGGAAGUAACUAGAAUAUGUAGUGUAGCGGUGAAAUGCUUAGAGAUUACAUGGAAUACCAAUUGCGAAGGCAGGUUACUAUCAAUAUAUUGACGCUGAUGGACGAAAGCGUGGGUAGCGAACAGG